UGGGGAAUUGUUCGCAAUGGGCGCAAGCCUGACGACGCAACGCCGCGUGGAGGAUGAAGAUCUUCGGGUCGUAAACUCCUUUCGAUCGAGACGAAUUCCUCCGGGGUGAAUAAUCCCGGAGGUUGACGGUACCGAGAGAAGAAGCCCCGGCUAACUCUGUGCCAGCAGCCGCGGUAAUACAGAGGGUGCGAGCGUUAAUCGGAAUUACUGGGCGUAAAGGGUGCGUAGGUGGUUUUAUAAGUCAGAUGUGAAAUUCCCGGGCUUAACCUGGGGACUGCGUCUGAUACUGUGAAGCUAGAGUACUGUAGAGGAAAGUGGAAUUUCCGGUGUAGCAGUGAAAUGCGUAGAUAUCGGAAGGAACAUCAGUGGCGAAGGCGACUUUCUGGACAGAUACUGACACUGAGGCACGAAAGCGUGGGGAGCAAAC
rnacentral:rRNA from 1 species